GCUGCGGUGUCCCAGUGGUUAAGGAGAUGGAAUUGUAAUCCAUUGGCUGCACAGGUUCUAAUCCUGUCCGCAGCA